rnacentral:rRNA from 1 species
UACGUAGGGGGCAAGCGUUGUCCGGAUUUAUUGGGCGUAAAGCGCUCGUAGGCGGUUUGGUAAGUCGGAUGUGAAAUCUCCAGGCUCAACCUGGAGGGGUCAUUCGAUACUGCCAUGACUAGAGGUCGGUAGGGGAGUGUGGAAUUCCUGGUGGAGCGGUGAAAUGCGCAGAUAUCAGGAGGAACACCGGUGGCGAAGGCGGGUCUCUGGGCCGGAACUGACGCUGAGGAGCGAAAGCGUGGGGAGCGAACAGG